UGCAGUCGACGAUGAGUUAUGACGGAGGCUUCGGCCGACUGAAUGAUGGAUUAGGGGCGGACGGGUGAGUAACGCGUGAGUAGCCUGCCUUUCAGAGAGGAAUAACAUUUGGAAACGAAUGGUAAUACCACAUAACAUUACGUUCUCGCAUGGGGAUGUAAUCAAAGAUUUAUCGCUGAGAGAUGGACUCGCGUCCGAUUAGCUGGAUGGUGAGGUAACGGCCCACCAUGGCGACGAUCGGUAGCCGGACUGAGAGGUUGAACGGCCACAUUGGGACUGAGACACGGCCCAGACUCCUACGGGAGGCAGCAGUGGGGAAUAUUGCACAAUGGGGGAAACCCUGAUGCAGCAACGCCGCGUGAAGGAAGACGGUCUUCGGAUUGUAAACUUUUGUUCUUGGUGAAGAAGAAUGACGGUAGCCAAGGAGGAAGCCACGGCUAACUACGUGCCAGCAGCCGCGGUAAUACGUAGGUGGCAAGCGUUGUCCGGAAUUACUGGGUGUAAAGGGAGCGCAGGCGGGAAAUCAAGUUGGAUGUGAAAUGUCGGGGCUUAACCCCGGAACUGCAUCCAAAACUGAUAUUCUUGAGUGAAGUAGAGGUAGGCGGAAUUCCGAGUGUAGCGGUGAAAUG
rnacentral:rRNA from 1 species